rnacentral:sRNA from 26 species
AUACCUCCUGUUAUAUGUAAUGACUUAUGUAUUUCAUAUGCGGAAUUAUGGAUCGUCAUCACCAUCUUUUAUUAAACGAAGAGUUAACUAUUCUUAAUAUUAAUAUGUUUUAUAUAGAGAUAAGCAAUUUUAUUGAAUAUUCAAUAUUUGCGGUUGUUAUUAUUUUUGUGGAAUGUAAACUUUUUAUCAAUACAGGCGAUAUUUAUGUUGGGAUUGUGAGGGUUGAUUCUAUUCUUAUAACAAGAAAUGUUGUAAUUGAUAGAUAUGUUAAAAAAUUAAUUGGAGGAGGGAAUGAUGCAUGUUGUGAAAUUUUUGCAACCAAUAGUACUGGGCAUCAUAGUGAAACAUGUUUGCAGCGCCAACGAUGGCAUAUAACUGUAUUUCGUCUGGAGAGUCAAGUGAGGACUAUGAAGCACAAUGCGAUAUCUUCUGGUUAUAUGGCGAAUUUGCUUACUGGGCAUGUUUUGGGCUGGUCGGCGUCAGCUAUUUCGGUAUACGAGAGAUGCAGAAUAUUUUAUUUGAAUAUCAACGACUUAAAUCAUAGUUGUUUUUUCUGUAGUGGCUAAAUACUUCAUAAUAGGGGCUCUUAAAUUCGUAUGUAUGAGAAAGAUUAGAAUCCACAUUUAUUAAUAUUAGAUGACCCUGGAGAGCUGGUUGUCUUAAUAAACGAUACGGGUCCUCGUUAGUGAAAAUAUCCUUAAGGAAGUAAACGCAUCGGGAGCGAUAGCGGUGAAUUAUUCGUGGUUUUAUCGAUUCGGCAUAGUGGCGAUAACUGAAUGUCGGAUCGGUACUGCGGGUGUUUAAACGCACCGUAAAUAAGAAGUAGUAUUAAGGCA